rnacentral:lncRNA from 1 species
AGUAGUCUUCACGUCUGUUCAGCACCCGAUGGCUUGUGCAGAAACGUGACCCAGACAACUCACUGCAAAAGAGAUACAGCUGUCAUUUGAAGCUAUCAAAUUUGGGUUGUGACGUAGUGAGCAGCUAACAGGGAUGACUCAGUUACGUUUUCUUCAUUUUCCAACUUUCAAGACUGUACUUCUUUGGCCUAACAAUAAUAACCAUAAAAGCAAUAACAGCUAUUGUUGUGACCACUUAUAGUCCCUAAGCACUUACUAUGUGCCAGGUAGCAAGCUUGAGCAAGAAUCCUGUGAAACAGAGAAUUUCUUCUUUCUGAUGAAGAAUCUGAAGCUGAAGACGUGAUUUGUUUGAAGCUACACAGGUGGGUUUGAAUCAUGGUGCCUUGACCUCUCUCUACAUUUAAGCUCAGGGUGCCCUCACUUCCCUGUCCUUCUGAUCUUUUUUGCCAAUUCAUCUAGAAAAUAUUUCAUAACUCCAGCUGGCCUGGAGUUACAUAACAUGUGGGUGGGGAGAAAGUUCUGAGUGCCCACUGAGGCCAUGGUGAGGGAGCACAGU